rnacentral:lncRNA from 1 species
AACUCGAAGACGACCUAAAUGAGACACGCAGCGUUGUGAAAGAGCUCAAAGACUUCCUGUCAGACCCAUCCGCUAACCUGACCCAUGUCCAGAAGGUGAGUGACUGGAUCCUGAAUGCCAAGCUGCCCCCCAGAUUGGCAGGGCUUAAAGGGAAGCUGCAGGAGCUGAAGGAUCUGACAGCCAAUCUACCAGACAGCACAGCAGUGCUGAGGGAAGCUGAGCCACAGUUAGAUGCAGCCAAGAAACUGCUGCAGGAUGCUCAGGAUGCCAGGGACACAGCACUGGGUGUGAAGGCUGAUGUUGAUGGGCUGCUGGCAGGCUUCAGCUCAGUGAGCCCUUCCCUUGCUGAGCUGGAAGACAAAUUGCAAGACAAAAUGGAUGUCAUAGAGACCUUGAAUAACAACCUUACUAAGGCCAAAGACCAGCUGGUGCCAGCAGAGAAGGCUCUGGACGAUGUAUCAACACUGAUAAAGCCAAUGAAACCCCAGCUGGAUAAGCUGAAAGACCUGCUGCAGGAUGGAGGUCAGCUGGCUGAAGAUGCACGGGAAAAUGCAGAAAAAGCUGACAAAGAAGCAGCUGCUGGAAAUCAGGACCUGUUGACUUUGGAGAAGCACCUUGACAGUCUUAAAGAGAAAGAUGUUCCCAGGACAGAUGGUGAGACGGAGCCAGCGGAGGAUCGACUGAACAAACUGCAGCAGGAUGCUGGAGUUCUGGCUAACAUAACCAAAAACAUGCUGCAGGCUCUAGAUGGUAAUUCAACAAACAUUUCCACUAAAAGAAAAAAAUUCACUCAUAAAUGCUCA